AAAUGGAUCUGCCUCUCCAUGGGUGGUAGUCCUUGUGGUAAAGUGCAAAGCCCACCUUUGAGUGGCCUGGGAGCAAACGGAGCAGCGAGCGACAGGUUACAGCAAUGAACAUUUAAAGCAACAUCAAACCGAGUGCUCUGGCGAACGGGCGAGGAAAGCGAGGAAGACUCAUGAGGACAAUAUUGCAGAAUAAACGCACAAAACAAAACAGGCCUGUUCCCAGAUAAAAGAAAGGAAAAGUAACCCAAAUAUCGAUUAAUAAUACAAGAGAACAAAAUCAAGAAAGGACGAUAGGAAGAGGGAUUAGGAACAGACUAAAGGAUCAAGAGCAGUUAAAGGAAUAAAAA